ACUCUAAUAGUUUACAAAAAACAUUGGUCUUGUAAACCAAAAGACGAAGGCUUACUACUUCUUAGAGUU
rnacentral:tRNA from 1 species